CCUCCUUUCUAUACCACAACACAUAUCUUUGUUAUAGAACCACAUAACAUAUUAAUUCCUUUAGGUUAUGAAGAUAAUACAAUGUAUUCAAGUUGGAUUUGGAAACUGCAGGUGCCUAUAGGGAUUAAAAUGUUUUGCUGGAAGCUUAUGUGGCAUUGAUGAGCUUGCAAAUAUAAUCUUUAUGAAAUUGUUAGCUGUUCCUUUUCAAGAUACUGCUGGCCAUUGGUAACAUCUAUUCAUUUUUAUUUGAUUGAUGAGGUUUUUGCUGUAAAUCAAAUCUAUGACAGGGCUCAAUAAUGGAUCUGGGGAGGUUUUAUUCAUAGAUCUAUGAAUCUAGCGUCAAAAAGAUUUGUUAAAUGGUGUCGCCCACCUCUUGGAAUCCUUAAACUUAAUUUUGAUGG
rnacentral:lncRNA from 1 species